GCCUGUUUAUCAAAAACAUGUCUUUUUGAGAAUAAUUUAAGGUCUAACCUGCCCAAUGAUUAAUUUAAUGGCCGCGGUAUUAUGACCGUGCAAAGGUAGCAUAAUCAUUAGUUUUUUAAUUGGAAGCUGGAAUGAAAGGUUGGACAAGAGAGUUACUGUCUUCAGUUUAAUUUAGGUGGAAUUUUAUUUUUUAGUAAAAAAGCUUAAAUAAUAGUGAGGGACGAGAAGACCCUAUAGAAUUUUAUAAAGGUAAUAAUUAAAGUUUUUUGUUAUUUUAUGUUUUUAUUAUUUGUUUUUAUUUUGUUGGGGUGAUGGAAAAAUUUGGUUAACUUUUUUUUGUUUAUACGUAAAUGAACGAGUAUAUGAUCCAGUAGUAUUGAUUAUAAGAUAAAAUUACCUUAGGGAUAACAGCGUAAUUAAUUUGGGGAGUUCAUAUCUAUAAAUUAGUUUGCGACCUCGAUGUUGGAUUAAAAUAUACUGUUGGUGAAGAGACUGACAAGUUAAGUCUGUUCGACUUAUAAAAUUUUACAUGAUCUGAGUUCAGACCGG
rnacentral:rRNA from 1 species